rnacentral:lncRNA from 1 species
AAAUAUCUCUCAAAGAGUGCAACUUUUAUUUAAAGAGUGUAAUUUUCAUCUUAAAGGGUGUAGUUUAUAUUUUAAAGAGUGCAACUUACAUCCAUAAUAGUGCAACAUUCUUUUAAAACAAUAAAAUUUUAUUUUAACAGUGCAACUUCAUCCUUUUCUUCAUUUUUCUCUGAUUUUCUUCAUUAUUCUCUAAUUUCUGAUCU